UCCCGUUGAUCCUGCGGGAGGUUGCUGCUAUUGGGAUUCGACUAAGCCAUGCAAGUCAGGGGGGUCUUCGGACCACCGGCAAAAGGCUCAGUAACACGUCGAUAAUCUGCCCUUAGGUCUGGGAUAACUUCGGGAAACUGAGGCUAAACCCGGAUAGGAAAAAAAUCUGGAAUGAUUUUUCCUUAAAAGUAAUGCCUAAGGAUGAGUUGGCGGCAGAUUAGGCUGAUGGCGGGGUAACGGCCCACCAUACCUACGAUCUGUAGGGGCCUUGAGAGAGGGAGCCCCGAGAAGGGUACUGAGAUACUGACCCUAGCCCUACGGGGUGCAGCAGGCGCGAAACCUUUACAAUGCACGAAAGUGUGAUAAGGGAAUCCUGAGUGCUCAUGUUUUACAUGGGCUUUUGUCAAGAGUAAAUAUCUUGGCGAAUAAGUGGUGGGAAAGACUGGUGCCAGCCGCCGCGGUAACACCAGCGCCACGAGUGGCAACCCCGAUUAUUGGGCCUAAAGCGUCCGUAGCCGGUUUGUUAAAUCUUGUGUGAAAUCGUUGGCCUAAAUCCAACGGCGUGCACGAGAGACUGGCAAACUAGGGACCGGGAGGAGUUAGAGGUAUUUUUGGGGGAGCGGUAAAAUGCUAUAAUCCUAAAAGGACCACCUGUGGCGAAGGCGUCUAACUAGAACGGAUCCGACGGUGAGGGACGAAAGCUAGGGGAGCAAACCGGAUUAGAUACCCGAGUAGUCCUAGCUGUAAACUCUGCGAGCUAGGUGUUGCGUAUUCUUCGUGAAUAUGCAGUAUCGAAACGAAGGUGUUAAGCUCGCCGCCUGGGGAGUACGGUCGCAAGGCUGAAACUUAAAGGAAUUGGCGGGGGAGCACUACAACAGGUGCGGCGUGCUGUUUAAUCUAUCAACUCAGAGAAUCUCACCAGGGGCGACGGCAGGUUGACGGUCAAGUUAACGGCUUUACCUGACGAGCCGAGAGGUGGUGCAUGGCCGCCGUCAGCUCGUGCCGUAAGGUGUCCUCUUAAGUGAGGUAACGAGCGAGACCUGUGCCUACAAUUGCUAGCAGUUCUUUCGAGGAGUCUGAGCACAUUGUGGGGACUGCCUUCGAAAGGAGGAGGAAGGUGCAGGCUACGGUAGGUCCGUAUGCCCCGAAUCUCCUGGGCUACAAGCGCGCAACAAUGGCCGGAACAAUGGGCUGCUACUCCGAAAGGAGGUGCUAAUCCUCGAAAUCCGGUCUUAGUUUAGAUCGAGGUCUGUGACUCGGCCUCGUGACAACGGAAUCUGUAGUAAUCGGGUAUUAUCAAUGCCCGGUGAAUAUGUCCCUGCUCCUUGCACACACUGCCCAUCAAGCCACUCGAGCAGGGUUUGGGUGAGAUUCACCUUUUUUGGGUGUCUCGAAUCUAAGCUCAGUGAGAAGGGCUAAGUCGUCACAAGGUA
rnacentral:rRNA from 1 species